rnacentral:lncRNA from 1 species
ACUGUGCUGUGGUGCGCUGUGCCCUGGCUGCUGUGUUUGACCUCUGACCUCGCUUGCAGGUGGGCGCGGGAGGAGCGAGGUGCCUUGUCCAGAGUUUGACAAUAACAAUCAGGGGCAGUCUGACUCCCACUGUCUGACAGGCCUGGACAAUGAACAGGCUCCUGACGGCCGAUUCGCUGGGCUGCUGUACCUGGAAGCCUACCAACGUUCCAUCGAGCCUCUGCCUCGCCAAGCUUCCACCAGCAACAUCAACCUGGAGGAGCCGGGGGUCAGCAACCGGGGGCCGAGCCCCAAAAACACACCAAAAACUCGCCGCGGACCACUAGCUGUGUAAAACACAUCCCUCCAGUACCGCCAGCUGCUGCAUCCGGCUGCACAACCCGACCCUGAUCCUGAUCCUGAUCCUGAUCCAACACGAGGCUCUAAAACUCCCGAAAUAUCGCAUCAACUCGCCCUCUGUACCCUGAGUCAACUCAAACUAUAGUUUUUAACUCUGAUUUUUAGUUUUCAACUCUUUAGAAGUAGCUUAAAUAAGGGUGAAAACCUACAUCCACCUAGUGUUUUCCCUUUUCAUCAGAGGUGGGGAUUCAAGUCAAACUCCAAUCACAUAUUUGAUGACUUUCAACUUAACCUGACGACAAAAAAAAAAAAAAAAUAGACUUAACCUUGACUUUACCUUCAACGAAUAGGACUUUAAGACUUAUAAAGACUUAACAAUGUAUUUUUUACUCAAGUUAAUUUUUUAGGUGUUGUAUAAAUAAUAUUGAAUCACAGAAAUUGAGCAUCACUGUAAAUGGGCUGCAGACUGGAUGCAUCGAGCUGCAUUACGCAGCAUCACACCUU